rnacentral:rRNA from 1 species
UGGGGAAUAUUGCACAAUGGAGGGAACUCUGAUGCAGCGACGCCGCGUGAGUGAUGAAGGAAUUCGUUUCGUAAAACUCUGUUCUAUGGGAAGAAAAGGACUGUACCAUAGGAGAAAGCUCCGGCUAAAUACGUGCCAGCAGCCGCGGUAAUACGUAUGGAGCGAGCGUUGUCCGGAAUUAUUGGGCGUAAAGGGUGCGCAGGCGGCUUUACAAGUUGGAUGUGAAAUAUUGUGGCUCAACCACAAACGUGCAUCCAAAACUGCAAAGCUUGAGUUAAGGAGAGGUAAGUGGAAUUCCUGGUGUAGCGGUGGAAUGCGUAGAUAUCAGGAGGAAUACCGGUGGAGAAGGCGACUUACUGGACUUAAACUGACGCUCAGGCACGAAAGCGUGGGGAGCAAACAGG